GAGAGAGCGCCAGAGAGGGGGCAAGAGAGGGCAAGAGAGAGCGCCAGAGAGGGGGCGAGAGAGGGCGAGAGAGAGCGCCAGAGCGAGGACGAGAGAGGGCGAGAGAGAGAGCGAGCGAGCCGGAGCAUCAUGAAGGGUUACAGAAGGUAAAGAGCCAGCCUGCGGUCUGAAUAGAUUAAACUGAACCAUCGCCAAGCUAAGAGCGAGUGCAGGAGUGUGUGUGUGUGUGUGUGUGUGUGUGUGUGUGUGUGUGUGUGUGUGUGUGUGUGUGUGUGUGUGUGUGUGUGUGGGUGUUUGUAUACACGAGUGAAAUAGAUACACAUUACACACAUCUAUAACACACAGACACACAGACACACCCCAGAGGGAGCCCCGAAGCAUCAGCUACCGCCCGGUAGAGGGGAACAGCAAUCAGGCGCACCUGGCCGCUAUCAGGGCUCGUUACUGCCCUGCUGAACCAGCUGCUGCAACAGACUGAACACACAAACGGCAAACCCACACAUUCAUCAUCAAAAAAUGCACACACACUAUAUGCUCACGCACGCACACACACAUAUUCGCCAACCAAACACACAUACACGGUCAGAAACAGACACACACAGACACACAGAGGUGUGCGAGCUUGGAGGCAGUAUCUUCCCAUCAGGGCUCCCUGGAGUGAUGUGGCCCAGACAUCCAGCAGGAGCCAUCGCUGCCAUCAGCCCCUCAUCCCGUUGUCACGGGGACACGCUACCUGUCACGUCACCUGGUCUUUUUAUUUCAUGGAAUUGACUUUUCAUCUCCGCUUGAGUCCAACUCUUCCUGACUCCCGUACAUUACGUCGUGGGUUCGAUGUCUAGCCAUCAGGCAGGCUGCCCAGAUCCAAUGGAAAGAUUUAUAAAAGCUUUCAUCAGAGGGAUCGGCCUGGCCCGCAACCAGGCAGGCGUUGGAGGCCGUGUCCAGAACCAGAGAAAUCAGAGCCGGUCCUCGCUGAGGGUCUCAGUACACUUCAUUACAGGACAAACUCGGGCUCUGAAUGGCGCCCAGACGAUGAAGGUCGAUGAGACGCCCUCGUGUUGUGGGUGGUGCGCAUGCCCCACCUAGGCAAACCUUCUCCUCCUCCUUCCUCUCUUCCUCCCUUCCUCCCAGAGAGACCGUCUUUACACUGUCAGCCAUUCCGCGCACAUGGAGUACUUCAAUCACCAAAAUUGUUCAUGUUUAUCGAAGCGAAAUGAAGUUUUGAUAAAUAAUGACAUGUCUGUUUAUGUGGAAGACGCAAAUGUGGGAGUCUAGUUAUUCUAGGCCGAUAAAUAAAUGUUACCAUUGUACUAAA